AUUGAACGCUGGCGGCAGGCCUAACACAUGCAAGUCGAACGGUAACAGGGAUCAGCUUGCUGAUUCGCUGACGAGUGGCGGACGGGUGAGUAAUGUCUGGGAAACUGCCUGAUGGAGGGGGAUAACUACUGGAAACGGUAGCUAAUACCGCAUAACGUCGCAAGCCCAAAGAGGGGGACCUUCGGGCCUCUUGCCAUCGGAUGUGCCCAGAUGGGAUUAGCUAGUAGGUGGGGUAACGGCUCACCUAGGCGACGAUCCCUAGCUGGUCUGAGAGGGUGACCAGCCACACUGGAACUGAGACACGGUCCAGACUCCUACGGGAGGCAGCAGUGGGGAAUAUUGCGCAAUGGGCGCAAGCCUGAUGCAGCCAUGCCGCGUGUAUGAAGAAGGCCUUCGGGUUGUAAAGUACUUUCAGCGGGGAGGAAGGGAGUAGAGUUAAUACCUUUGCUCAUUGACGUUACCCGCAGAGGAAGCACCGGCUAACUCCGUG
rnacentral:rRNA from 1 species